rnacentral:lncRNA from 1 species
GAACGGAGAAAUAGUGCAGAGCAAAAAGACAUCUGUGGCUGUGUAAUUUGUCAUCAUUUUUGUGUGCACUCUUGGAUUGCAGAACAUGAUAUCAUGAAAGAAAAAGAACGGAGAAAUAGUGCAGAGCAAAAAGACAUCUGUGGCUGUGUAAUUUGUCAUCAUUUUUGUGCACUCUUGGAUUGCAGAACAUGAUAUCGUGAAAGAAAAAGAACGGAGAAAUAGUGCAGAGCAAAAAGACAUCUGUGGCUGUGUAAUUUGUCAUCAUUUUUGUGCACUCUUGGAUUGCAGAACAUGAUAUCAUGAAAGAAAAAGAACGGAGAAAUAGUGCAGAGCAAAAAGACAUCUGUGGCUGUGUAAUUUGUCAUCAUUUUUGUGCACUCUUGGAUUGCAGAACAUGAUAUCAUGAAAGAAAAAGAACGGAGAAAUAAUGCAGAGCAAAAAGACAUCUGUGGCUGGUAAUUCUUGUUUUAUAUUAACUUUAUUUCCACUAGAAAUGCUUGAAUGUUAUAAUUUGUACGUCCCUUUUCACAUGUUGCUUUAUAUUGGAGUUUUACUAGUUAUUUAUUUUACAUGAACGCUUCACAUUAUGUUUUAAUGUUUAGGGUAGCAUUUAUGCG